GUAAGACAGACGUGAAAUCCCGGGCUAACCUGGGAACUGCGUUUGUGACUGCAAUGCUAGAGUAUGGCAGAGGGGGGUAGAAUUCCACGUGUAGCAGUGAAAUGCGUAGAGAUGCUGGAGGAAUACCGAUGGCGAAGGCAGCCCCCUGAGGUCAGUACUGACGCUCAUGCACGAAAGCGUGGGGAGCAAACAGGAUUAGAUACCCUGGUAGUCCACGCCCUUAAACGAUGUCAACUACGUUUUGGGGGAGGAGACUUCCUUAGUACCGCAACUAACGCGUGAAUUUGACCGCCUGGGGAGUACGGCCGCAGGGUUGAUACCUCAGAGGAAUUGACGGGGCACCCGCACAAGCGGAGGAUGAUGUGGUUUAAUACGAUGCACCGCGAAAAUACCUUAGCCAUCUUUGAGAUGUAUGGAAGAUCGCAGAGACGCGAUUGUGCUCGAAAGAGAGCCAUAGCGCAGGUUCUGCAUGGCUGUCGUCAGCUCGUGUCCGUGAGAUGUUGGGUUAAGUCCCGCAAACGAGCGCAACCCUUGUCAUUAGUUGCUACAUUUAGUUGGGCACUCUAAUGAGACUGCCGGUGACAAACCGGAGGAAGGUGGGGAUGGUCAAGUCAUCAUGGCC
rnacentral:rRNA from 1 species